rnacentral:lncRNA from 1 species
UUGAUUGUUUUCUUUGUGGGUGCUUGAUUCAGAAACUCUGCAGCGAUUCGGACAUUCUUCUUUUUUUUUUAGGUAGAAGUGACUGUGUGGUUGGUCUCUGUGAGUUAUUUGGGGGACGCUGUAUUUGCUCGCAUAUGUAUUGGAGAAUCCAAGUGGCUUUGGAGUCUUGUCCUAUCUCACUCCCUCCCUUUCCCACUCCCUUGGUUCCUUAGGAAAUGCUUUAUUUUGUGAGUGCACGCAGGCUUGAUGGAGCCCUAUCCUGUGUAAAUGUUCCUCAUGUUUCUGGAAAGUGCUGUAGUGUAGUCUCACCCCAUCCAGCCUCCCAAACAGGGCCAACUAUCUAAUUCCGAGAAUCUGAAAGAAGAGAAAGACUGUGGACACACACCCCCUCCCCCAAAAAACCCAGCUCAGCUGCAGGAAAACCCCUAUCCUCAGGGAGCCCGCGGACUGACUUCCAGAGAGGCCUACCAAGAAGCCCUGGGCCCUGGGACACGAGGUUGGGGUGGGGUUGAGGAGAGGCUUAGUCCUUGGAGCACGGGGAAGCUACUUUCUCCCCAGGAGGGCUGGGCUCCCUGGGGCGGCCUCGGGAGGUGGCCCUCCAUAUUCCUGCCUGAGGACCAGUUGUAAAUGUUACCGCUUCCUACAAAUAAAUGCUGAUCUGAACAAAUGG